UGUGCUGUGAGCAGGGAUUGCUGUGGGUGAGUGCUGCCCUCCUCGAGGCACAAGGGAGAAAGCUGAGCCUUUGAAAAAGGAGGAGAGGAUUACUGCAAAUCCACUGAGGAAAAAAACCAAGGAGGCAUCAGAAGAAUAUUGGUGACGAGAAGGAUAAAAGCAGAAACCCAGCAACAAAUACUUUGCCUGUUUGAGCGAGAGAUUUGAAACUUUCCCCAGCUUGGAAGAGGGUGCAGAGCAAUCAGAAAAUCUGCACAAGAAGAAGAUGAAGCCAGCACUUUGAUUCAGAAGUUCAGAGCAGGCCCUUCUUGGCACCUGCCAUCUCUGUGCAGACAGGAAAGAAGAAAACGCAGAAAGG